GGAAAGUAGCACAGAGGCUGGGCGGCUAAGCCAUCCUGGUCAUAGUCCAGGCAGGCUUCCUGGAGGAGGCGACAUCUGAGGAAAUAACGAGGAAGACUCUGACAGAGCCCACAAUGCCCGCGGAUGGUGGGGAAGGUGCCAAGAGGCAUGCUGGCUAGCUGAGGCUAACAAUCUGGGAUUUUAAAUAUCCAUGAGAGAUAAAAGUGGACGAGUCACAGCCAUGGGGAAAAGGGGUACACAACAAGAGAAGCCAUGCCCUUGUGCUCAGGAUACUUUUCAGCUCACCGUCUGUACUGACAGGAAGCUCGUGGAAACAACACCAGGACAAGUGUGAAGCUCACAUAAGGCAGCAGGUGUGAGUGCCCCCUGGGAUCUGCAGAGCCAAGGCACGAUGCUGUGAACGCUAUGCUCCAUUCAAAAAGACUUCUAUUCAAGUCCUGGCUCUGUCAACUGUGUGAUCUUGGGCAGGUGCCCUCCCCUCUCUGAGUGUGCUCACUCAUCAGCAAAAUGAAGAUGGUAAUUCCUUCCUCAUUCUUUUGCAUGCCGGGUUACAGGGAAAAAAAUUAAAAUAAAAAUAGUCUGAUCCCCGGAGCGCUCUGCAGAUGCUGAUUACUCUACUAUUGUAGUCUACUCAAUGAGCUCCUUGAAGGCAGGUACGUGAUCCCCCCUCUUCCUCCAGCACCUUCCACAGAGCAGGUGCCCAGACACCACCCGGUCCACUUGGUCUAGUUAAUUGCUUUGUAUAGUCGCGCGGGAGCAGGAAGCCAGCACUUCCGGGCUUGCAGGCGGGCGGUGGGGCGCGAAGAUCUCUCCGCCUCCGUCUCCACUAACCCCUCCUCUUCUGAGUCUCAGCGGUUCAGUAUCUGCCGAAACCGGUUCUGCUCAGGUGCUCGGGAAGCAGGAGACCUGCCGGGUCACCUUCAGGUGGUGGUCCCUCAAGUCCAUCAGCAGCUCCAGGAUAUGGUGUGACCCGGGUCAGGAUCAGUGCACCACACAGGUCGCACCUAUGCUCCUCCAGAGCAGCGCGGCACCCAAGCGUAGUGUAGACACACCUAGGGCAGGGAUCGUCCAAUCUCGAGAAGACAGCUUUAUAACAAGGGGUUCCGUGGAGAGCUUGUGGCGACGUGGAAAGAGCGGGCGCCAGGACGACCGCCUGGAGCCAAGGAUGGCUGUGUGCCCUUGUCUAAGUCACUUCCCACUCUGUUCCUCAUUUUCCUUCUCUGUGAAAUUGGCUACAGUGCCCGCUGGGCCAGCCAAUCGCUGCGGGAAUUAGAUUCAAAGGACUGCUCCAACAGCCCCCUCCCGCGACCCUGUGCCGGGUCCGACUAGUCAGGGCCCGCGGCCGCCAC